rnacentral:rRNA from 1 species
CACGUAGGGACCAAGCGUUGUCCGGAUUCAUUGGGCGUAAAGAGCUCGUAGGCGGUUCGAUAAGUCGGGUGUGAAACCUCUAGGCUCAACCUGGAGACGCCACCCGAUACUGUCGUGACUAGAGUCCAGUAGGGGAGCGUGGAAUUCCUGGUGUAGCGGUGAAAUGCGCAGAUAUCAGGAGGAACACCAGCGGCGAAGGCGGCGCUCUGGGCUGGAACUGACGCUGAGGAGCGAAAGCGUGGGGAGCGAACAGG